GGGUGAACCUGCGGAAGGNUAGUUA
rnacentral:rRNA from 1 species